GAUGAACGCUGGCGGCGUGCCUAAUACAUGCAAGUCGAGCGAACAGAUGAGGAGCUUGCUCCUCUGACGUUAGCGGCGGACGGGUGAGUAACACGUGGAUAACCUACCUAUAAGACUGGGAUAACUUCGGGAAACCGGAGCUAAUACCGGAUAAUAUAUUGAACCGCAUGGUUCAAUAGUGAAAGACGGUUUUGCUGUCACUUAUAGAUGGAUCCGCGCCGCAUUAGCUAGUUGGUAAGGUAACGGCUUACCAAGGCAACGAUGCGUAGCCGACCUGAGAGGGUGAGCGGCCACACUGGAACUGGGACACGGUCCAGACUCCUACGGGAGGCAGCAGUAGGGAAUCUUCCGCAAUGGGCGAAAGCCUGACGGAGCAACGCCGCGUGAGUGAUGAAGGUCUUCGGAUCGUAAAACUCUGUUAUUAGGGAAGAACAAAUGUGUAAGUAACUAUGCACGUCUUGACGGUACCUAAUCAGAAAGCCACGGCUAACUACGUG
rnacentral:rRNA from 1 species